rnacentral:lncRNA from 1 species
AACAGAAAGGGGCAGAGCCUUAUGGUAAUGAACUGUGGGGGGCGGGAGCGUGUUGCUGAGAGAGGCCUAUUUAUUCAGACGCUUCUCGGCCUCUCUGUGCUGCAUUUCUUUCCUCCAGAUACAGGGCGGUUCAUCUCUCACAUGAGGGUCUUACGAUCUACUUGCAGGAAAGGCAUGUAAAUUCCAUUUGGGAAGAUAUUUUGAACUUGGAGAACUGAUGACAGAUUGACUUUAUUAAGCACCUUCUGAAAAGAGAACAUGUUCCACCUUGGAGGAUCAACAGACUUAUGGACAGCCUUGUAGAAGACAGAGACUUUACUCUAAAGAACUUUAAUGAAAGACGAUGCGAGGACACAGUGAGAAGAUAGCGUCCACAAACCAGAAAAAGAGAGCUCACCAGAAACCAACCCUGACAACAUCUUGAUCUUGGAGUUCCAGCCUCCAGAACUUAAUAUACAGAAGAUGUUUCGAGGACUAUUGAGCUACAUAACCUCCAAGGAUCACUUCAAUUCUAAGAUGAGGAGACAGCCAGAGCAAUGGACGAAGAUAGAGGCACUGAAGCCAACUGGGAAACUACCACAAUAAUCCAGGAUGCCGGUGACAUGAACUAAGGUGGGUGAGAGGAUGAAUCAAGGCUGGCCAGACACAUUCAGAGGAUGUGCCUAUGUUCUGGAAACUUUGAAAACUACUCCUUUCACAUACUAGAAGCAUGGAAGAUCCAGCUGCCCUCUAAGGCCUCAAGUCAAUCGUCCCUUAUCCACCAAAAUGACUAAAUACCAUCUGACACUUUCCUUCUCUCCUGCUUGAGUCUGAAGACACAUUUGGAGUCUCUUGCCACCAGCAGAAUGACAACCCUUGUAGGUCUGUCGGGAAACCUGCAAGAAACCUGAGAUGGGAAAAGGUAUUUACUGGGACACGUGCAUGGAAAGAUGUGGAAGAUACAUUUUAGAUUUAGAUUGAAGGAGAGAAAGAGUCAUCGCCUAUAUUCCUAUCACUCACAUUCCAUCUAUCCACGUUCAUACAUAAAUCAUGGAGGAUACGCAGCUCCAGAGCCACCUUGCAUCAAAAUGGAGUCAGAUUAAAGGGUUCACCAGGUAGCACUAUAUACCUCAUUUAUGUGCCCUUAAAAAACUUAGGGAGAUUCAUUCAAGUAUGGUAUGGCUUAAAAUGACCAAGUAAAAUCUGAACCACAUGCUUUCAUUUAAAUACAGAUGGUCAGGUUUUGUUUAUGUAUACAGAGCCAACUGCUUAUACAAAGCAGUGCCCUAUACAUAUAAACCAGCAAAGCCAUUUUAGAACCCAGAGUUUGAAAGAGUCUAUAUAAAUGUAAAUUACCAACCAAAGGGAGCAUAAAAUCUAUGGAUGUGAAAACGAGGCUACUAUCUUUCCUCAUCCAGCUCCCAUUGGCCAGCAUGGGCUCACACAGUGUUCUUUCAUUUGGGGAGUCUCUGGAGCAUGGAUUUAGCUGGGUUUCUGUGCCAGCGCUUCAGCUGGCAGUGAUUGGGUGACCUGUGUUUCCUCGGUGGUUGUUUGUCAUUGUCAGGGGGGCUUCCAGAUUUUACAGAGUCACUGAGGUCUUCACACAUCUGACUUGUCAUCCCAGCACUAUUUUGAUCCCUUGGAUUCUCCAGCAGGCAUCUUCCAGGAAAAUUCUGGGAGUGUCUUGGCCCAAUAUUUCAGUCUAAUGGCUAGGAGUAAGCUAGCUUUAUCCAAGGCCAGAGCUGAGCUCUAGUUGGGGAUAAAAUGCUACUGAAAGCUGUAUUAACUCUUGUACGCCACUAAUGUGUUUCAUUUGGGACCCUGCAGUAGCCAUUCACUAAAUGGGAUUCUGAGGCAUGAAAAAAGCUAAAGUGAGCUGCUCCCAACUUGUCAUUCUCAACAAGGGAGGAUGUGGCUCACAAUGGGGGAGGGGAUUGGUUGAAUAAGAGGGAAUGUCUGCAGACUGCUUGGAGAUCCACGCAGGAAGAACCCAGAGAAGAGCAAUCUAGCUAAAUGAAAUUGUUUUCUUUCUUUCCAACCACGGUAUAUUAAUUGGGCACAAAUCGGUCCACUUAAUGCCAAUUGACAUGAAGCAAUUUCCCAUUUGAUGGCAAUUGAAAACCCAUGCUUGCUGCCCCAAACCUGCUUGAUUGUUCCAAACAGAUUUCCCAUCCUAAAGUGGAAAUGGAUUUAAUUUGAUCUCUUCAGUCUGUUCGCCAUUAUGUGUGAAACAGUGGUAUUAGUAGCCAGGAAAUCAGCAGCUACCUGAGCAGUGGAGUGUUCAAAAUGGAGGCAUUCCAGCUGCUAGUGAAAAUUCAAAGGAAAGAGUCAUGCUAUAGUUGUGAUGGCUAGAGACCUGGGAUAGCAUAGCUGUUCUUUGUUGUUGUUGCAGCUGUCUCAUUGUUUUGAUUUGUCUUUUUCUUUUUUUUUUCUUUGCUGUUUCCUUAAGACUAGAGAAGCUUAAAGCUAAGGAGAGUCCUAGACAGCUACCUUGUCCAGUUGUCACUUCAAUGAGGAAACCCAGGCCUAACGAAGUUUUGUGACCUGCCUCAAUAAUAAUCUGCCCACUCUUUCUCACUCCUAUGUCUUUUUUAUUCUCAUGCAUUCCUUGCUCUCACUUCCAAGAAUUCUAGCUCAGAGCUCUAUCAGUGGAGAGGUAAUGGAAAGAAUAUAUGGUCUUAUAACUGAAAGUCUUGAGUUCAAGGGAUGUACCUGAGUCAUGUGACUUCUCAGGGCUUUGGUUCCCUUAUCAAUGAAAAGGAAAUACAGAUCCAUGCUUCCCAGUGUUUUUGCAACAAUCGAAUGAAAUAACUUAUGUAAAAGCAGUUUACAAAUUACACAGGAUCAUGAGAUGUAAAACAUUAUCCUACCAAAGCCCAAAGCCCCUCCUAGACAGGAGACAGGCCAAAUGGGUCAAAGGUUGGAAGCCAGGCAAGAAACAAGCUUUGAUCAAGUGACUGUAAGAAUCACGAGAGUACCAGUAGUACUCUCCACUCAUACCUCAAAUCAGAGAAAGAUUAGGGAUUAAAAAGCUGAAAAUAUUUGCAGAUGUUUGGCAUGGCUGUGGUUAGCCUUUUGACUUUUGGAACAAAUAACAUCUAGUGAUAUUUGUUUCACUUGUUUUUCUUUUAACUAAGUUGUCAGCCUAUUAUUUGAAAACUUUUUCCAUUCUAAAGCUCUAUUUUGUACAGAGAUAUCUAAUCACUUAUCUGAACAAAGAUGCAAACAUGGCCAUAUGGCCUUUGCCCUGUCAGAGAAAUCAGUGAAAUCAGAAAAAUCAGAGAGGCUUAUCCUAUAUUCUACUGGUAAUAUACCCAAGUGUUUUAUAAAAGUGUUUAUAGAAAUAUGUGCCCUUGGUGUUUUCACAAGUACAAGCAUAAAUGAAACAAGAUAUAGGCAGAUCAUCAUAGAUGAAGCUCUGGGCUAGGAGACACAAAGUGUUGCUUCCUGGUAGCUGUGUGACCUAGGGCAAGUCACUUCACCUCUCUGAGCUUCUGAGAGAUGAACAGGGGUACAAAAUGGGGAUAUGACAAUAUCAACCCCAGGAUUAAGCGAGAUGACAUCAUCCAGGUCUCAGCUCAAAUACCGCCUGUUCAGAGAGGCUAUAGUGCAUGCUGUGGUGGGUCACACAGAUCCCCCCUAUGAGGACUGAAGCAUCAUUUGCCUAGCUGCUGUGAGUGUUGGAAGCUGGAUCCCCUUCAUAGAUUGCCCUAAGCUGCCCAUCUCGCCCAAAAUCUUCCCACCAAAGGCAGCACACAUACAAUAGUGGCAAAUAAGAGGGUCUAAAGGCCAACUCCCCAGCCCCAACUCAAGAUACACUGUAGGACUACCCCAGCUUCAAGGCUUUCUGUGGUGUUGGAGGCUGAGGUUUUGCUGUGACUAUGUAAUAGCCCAACUUCUGUUUCUGCCCAAUCCUAUUUCCUGUACAUAUGCUCCUAGACUUAUAACAGGGUUACAUCCUGAUAAACUCAUCACAAGUUGAAAAUAUCAAGUUAAAAAUGCAUUUAAUACUCCUAACCUACCAAACAUCAUAGCUUAGCCCAGCCUACCUUAAACAUGCUCAGAACGCUUACAUUAGCCUAUGGUCGGGCAAAAACAUGUAACACAAAGCCUAUUUUAUAACAAGGUGUUGAAUAUCUCAUGUAAUUUAUUGAAUACUACACUGAAAGUGAGAAACAGAAUGGUUGCAUGUGCACUCGUAGUGCAGUUUCUACUGAAUAUAUAUCACUUUCACACCAUCUUAAAGUCAAAAAAUUGUUAAGUUUAGCCAUCUUUUUUUUUUAAUGGGUAAUUUUCUUUUUUUUAUUAUUAUUAUACUUUAAGUUUUAGGGUACAUGUGCACAAUGUGCAGGUUAGUUACAUAUGUAUACAUGUGCCAUGCUGGUGUGCUGCACCCAUUAACUCAUCAUUUAGCAUUAGGUAUAUCUCCUAAAGCUAUCCCUCCCCCCUCCCCCCACGCCACAACAGUCCCCAGAGUGUGAUGUUCCCCUUCCUGUGUCCAUGUGUUCUCAUUGUUCGAUUCCCACCUAUGAGUGAGAAUAUGCGGUGUUUGGUUUUUUGUUCUUGUGAUAGUUUACUGAGAAUGAUGAUUUCCAAUUUCAUCCAUGUCCCUACAAAGGACAUGAACUCAUCAUUUUUUAUGGCUACAUAGUAUUCCAUGGUGUAUAUGUGCCACAUUUUCUUAAUCCAGUCUAUCUUUGUUGGACAUUUGGGUUGGUUCCAAGUCUUUGCUGUUGUGAAUAGUGCCACAAUAAACAUACGUGUGCAUGUGUCUUUAUAGCAGCAUGAUUUAUAGUCCUUUGGGUAUAUACCCAGUAAUGGGAUGGCUGGGUCAAAUGGUAUUUCUAGUUCUAGAUCCCUGAGGAAUCGCCACACUGACUUCCACAAGGGUUAAACUAGUUUACAGUCCCACCAACAGUGUAAAAGUGUUCCUAUUUCUCCACAUCCUCUCCAG